rnacentral:rRNA from 1 species
GACCAACCCCCCUCCUGGGGGGGAGGAGAAAAAAUUUUUUUUGGGGGCGUUUAAUUAUAUCCCCCCGCCUAUAAUUUUUUUUUUUCCGGGGGGAAAAAAAAAAGGUUGGGGGGGCCCCUUUUUUUUUGGGCCCUAGGGGGUUUUUUUAGAAGGGGGCCCCGGGGGUAAAAAUUUAGCCUAGGUUGGGGGGGGGUAAAAGGCCCUUCCCAAGGGCGACGGAUCUUUAAGCUUGUUUGAGGAGGGAUGUUCAACCCCCCCUGGGAUUGAGACCCGGCCCCAGGAUUCUUACGGAGGGCAGCAAUGGGGGAAUAUUGGACAAUGGGCGCAAGCCUGAUCCCAUUAAUGCCGGGGGUUGCGAUGAAGCCUUCGGUUCGUUAAGCACUUUCAAUGGGAGGAAAUCUACAGGGUAAUACCUUUGUGGCUUGACGUUAUCCAUACAAGAAGCACCGGCUAACUCUGUGCCAGCAGCUGCGGUAAUACAGAGGGUGCAAGCGUUAAUCGGAGUUACUGGGCGUGAGGCGUACGUAGGCUGACAUAAAAGUCAGAUGUGAAAUCGCUGGGCUCAUCCUAGGAACUGCAUUUGAAACUAUAUGUCUAGAGUAUGGUAGAGGGAAGUGGAAUCUCCGGUGUAGCGGUGAAAUGCAUAGAUAUCGGAAGGAACAUCAGUGGCGAAGGCGACUUCCUGGACCAAUACUGACGCUGAGGUACGAAAGCAUGGGUAGCAAACAGGAUUAGAUACCCUGGUAGUCCAUGCCGUAAACGAUGAGAACUAGGUGUUGGGUAGUUUACUACUUAGUGCCGCAGCUAACGCAUUAAGUUCUCCGCCUGGGGAGUACGGCCGCAAGGCUAAAACUUAAAGGAAUUGACGGGGGCCCGCACAAGCGGUGGAGCAUGUGGUUUAAUUCGAUGCAACGCGAAAAACCUUACCUACCCUUGACAUCCUUGGAAUCUUUUAGAGAUAGAAGAGUGCCUUCGGGAACCAAGUGUCAGGUGCUGCAUGGCUGUCGUCAGCUCGUGUCGUGAGAUGUUAGGUUAAGUCCUGUAACGAGCGCAACCCCUAUCCUUAGUUGCCAGCACGUAAUGGUGGGAACUCUAAGGAAACUGCCGGUGACAAACCGGAGGAAGGUGGGGACGAGGUCAAGUCAUCAUGGCCCUCACGGGUAGGGCUACACACGUGCUACAAUGGACAGUACAAUGGGAAGCGAAGCCGCGAGGUGGAGCAAAUCCCACAAAGCUGUUCCCAGUCCGGAUUGGAGUCUGCAACUCGACUCCAUGAAGUAGGAAUCGCUAGUAAUCGCGAAUCGAGCAUUCGCUUGCACUGCCGGG